rnacentral:rRNA from 1 species
AUUGAACGCUGGCGGCAGGCCUAACACAUGCAAGUCGAGCGGAUGAAGGGAGCUUGCUCCUGGAUUCAGCGGCGGACGGGUGAGUAAUGCCUAGGAAUCUGCCUGGUAGUGGGGGAUAACGUCCGGAAACGGGCGCUAAUACCGCAUACGUCCUGAGGGAGAAAGUGGGGGAUCUUCGGACCUCACGCUAUCAGAUGAGCCUAGGUCGGAUUAGCUAGUUGGUGGGGUAAAGGCCUACCAAGGCGACGAUCCGUAACUGGUCUGAGAGGAUGAUCAGUCAACACGGAAACGAAAACGGGGCCAAGCCCCAGCGGGGGGCAAGGGGGGGAGAUUAUGGAACAUGGGGAAAAGCCUUAUCCAACCAUGCCGGGUGGGUUGAAAAGGUCUUCGGAUUGAAAAGCACUUUAAAUUGGGGAGAAGGGCAGUAAGUUAAUACCUUGCUGUUUUAGCGUUACCAAAAGAAAAAGACCCGGCUAACUUCG